AGCUGUAUUGGUUCGCAAGCCAUAACUAUUCUCUUGCAAUAACAAUUUUUCAAAAAACUAAUAAAUAAUCAAUUUUGAAUAUUCAAUAUUCAAAAUUUAGUUAAAUAACCCUUUAUCCAAAAUCUUUAGCAGUCAUGUGCAUUUUAGAUGCAUUAUAAUUGGUCUAAAAAAAAAGAAACUAUAGAAAACAAUCUAAUAAGUCUGAUGAAUGUAAGGAGAGAAAGGAAAAGAGAGGAGAAGAAAGAGAAGAAAGAGAAA
rnacentral:lncRNA from 1 species